rnacentral:lncRNA from 1 species
GACUCCUGCGCAAGCGCAGAGUGAAGGGCCGGGAACAGUGGAGGGUGCGAGGAAGACAAUGGGGGAGGACCCUGAGGCGGCCUCUGUGAGCCGACAGGAACACGUGGUCGAUCAGAGAGAGACUCGAGGUUCGUGAACGGAUGGGGAGGACCCUGAAAAGCACUGUGGAAUACAGGUUUCUAGUAACUUCAAAAUCACAUCAUUUGGACUGGAACCCAAAGAUGGGAUCUUCUGAGAACAUCAGAGAAACGCUGCCCUUGGCAUCAUCACUGCAACAAAACAUCAGGAUCUUGAACCUUGGGGUCAUAAUCUCACAACUGAGCAGGGUCACUCUUGGAACUCUACAUCCAUUGAAACCCUUAAGGUAAAGCUAAUCAGGGAAGUUUCUCCCCAGAAGAAGAUGGCAUCCUUGAUGUGAGCAGCUCUUUCUGAAGAUCAUGGAUCAAGACUUCUUACUAUCAUGAGACUCUUAUCUUUGAAUGUUUUUCCGUUGCUUCCGCCUCUGUGAACAACAGAAGUGAGAAGGGGGUCUGUUUUGUGCACUUAUGGGGUAUACUUUUAUUUGUGAAGGGCUUUGCAGCCAGCUUUAUACAUGGAUAAUCUUAUAACUUGAUAGAUAAAGAUGAAGGCCCAGUGUAUCAUAGGUGAGAAACUUCAAUGGUACAUAUGGUGCCUCAUAAUCAUUCAGAAGCAGAACAUUGGUUCACUCCUCUUAACCCACAGCAUGGGUUAAAGAGACCAUUGCCAAGAGGCCUUCCCUCUUCUAGAAGGGCAUCAUUUGUUAGGUCCUUUUUCCAUGGUUUGGAAUUAAAAAGGCAAUGACUAGAAACAUAUCCCUCAUGGUAGACUCUGUAGCAGAUUCUACUGUAAAGGCUACACAACAGAUGUUAAAUUCUCUUGUGAAAGUUAUGCUAAAAAAUAGAAUUGGCUAAACAGGAAAGUACCUGUGCAGAUGCUGGCACUUAAGGCCUAUGGAGAAAACAUCAGGUGUUAUAGAGAGUCUGUUGUAGGGAAUUAACGAAAAGACCACUGAGUUAAGUCAAAGAAUGGUCUAUUUGAGUUUAGGUGGUCUGGUUUAUGGGGACCCUGGCUAAGGAGCAUACUCCAAAUUCUUGGUGUUAACCCUCUCAGUAGUCAUAAGAAUAGUCUCCCUGGUGCACUGUAUUCUCUCAAAGGUUUUAAAUGUUUGCAUGAAGCCAUCUUUAGAACGUCAGAUGGUCUCUCUUCAACUGGAAUGACAAGAGCUGAAAGAAAUGUGUGACCACGAGGACACCGAAACCGAUGAGUGACAUGCUGAGACUGGAAAUCCAAAAUGAUAGUAACGGAGAGUGGCGCUAACAUCCUAAGUUUUGGUCACACUCUUGCCUAAGUGACAACCUGACAAAGGGGGAAUUUUUUAAACAAAAUGAUGGGAGGCCAUUGUUUUGGACUGAGCACUAGGUCCCAACAGACCAAACCGAACCAAAAUGGCAUCAUUCGUGCUAAAUGUGACAUAAUCGAAUUAAGACUUUAAGGAAACACAUGGGUCCUAGAAUAGACCAGGUUUUGUUUUUCUCUUGCAAACAGGACUUUCCAGCAUAAGGUGGUAUCCUCAACUCAGUCCUUGUUCCUACCUUUGCAAAACUCACUGUUCUGCUUCCUAGUGGGUUUCAAGACCAAUGGUGACAGUGACAUCAAUAACUCAAGUUUCGAUCAAUCUCUCAAAACUGAUAAAAUGACCAAAAAGGGGGAAUUGUUAAAGCGAACUAAAUAUGGCCUGAGAAGGACUCCGUACUUCUGUAUUGGAGUCCCUGUGAACAAACUGAGCCUAACUUAAUAGGUAGACAAGAUUGAAAACCUAAAUUAGGAGUAUGUACCUGUCACAAUUGCUGAGUCUCGGCCAGUCCCAGCAGCCGUACUUCAAUCACUCAUACACUGCUGAAUGUUCAAACUGUGUGUAAAUAAGGCAAAUGCCAACCUGUAACUAAUCCAGGUGUUUCUCUACCUCACUUCCCUUUUUUUGUCUAUAAAUCUUCCACCACGUGGCUGCACUGGAGUCUCUCUGAAUCUGCUGUAAUUCUGGGGGCUGCCCGAUGUGCAAAUCAUUCAUUGCUCAAUUAAACUCCUUUAAAUUUAAUUCAGCUGAAGUUUUCUUUUAACAAGAGUGAGAUAAGAAUCUGUGUUCUUAUCCCCCAGAAUGGACAAAUCAGUAGCGUUCCUUGUCAUUCUUUUGUGGCUGGUUUCACGUAAAUAUUUUGUGUGUAUGAUAAUAGAAUUUGAUUUUAAUGAAUAUACUUUAAAAGCAACUUUUUUUUUAUUCUUCCUCACCAUCGAAGAUGGAGAAAAAUAAGAAGGGCUGUCUUGCGGUUCCAUUUCUUUUGUGGAUAGUAAGAAGCGCUGUCUUCUGGUUCCGUUUUUUUUUUCUGGAUAGUAAGGAUGUUUAUCUUACUCUGUCUUCAUUGUCCUCAAACCUCAAGUAGUCACUAAUACCCUGGCUAUGACAGCUUUUAUCGUAGUGUUAAAUGGCAGAUUUAUUUACUUGGCAAACAUUGUCAAGUCUCAGAAAAAUUACCCCAUGGUCUUGCCUUCUUCCCUCGUGAAUUGCCUUCCACUGAUGGAGAGGAUUUGAUCUGUUCCCUGCUCAUCAAUUUUUCUAGCUUCUUUGGGAUGUCCGCUCUGCAUAUCUACUAAGGAAUUAAGAAAUAAUGGCUUCAGCAAGAAACAAGGCAGGAAAGUGCAGUGACAUGAGGACCAUACAGGGAAGGAGCUGUCCCCAAAGCAGGGUCUUUGUGACUUGUACCUUGUGCGGACCUCCUACUCAUCCUGUGACUAAGAACACUGAACUUCCUGGGGUUACAGCCCACAGGUCUCAGCCUCAUUUCAUCCAGCCCCUAUUCAAGAUGGAGUCGCUCUGGUUCAAAUGCCUCUGACACUAGUAAGGAUCACAGGUGGCAUCAACAGGUUUGGAGCAAACCUGAGUGUCUCCCGGUUGGUCACAUCUCAACUGACGAAAUCCACGACCAGCAGAGAGCAGCCUCCUUGCCCCCUGUGCUCACUGAGUCAUCCAGCCCAUUUUGACCAAGAUUAUGUGAGUUGCUGGAGCAGAGGUUGGUUGAGGGAGCUCCCACUGUAUGUAAUCACCGUG